rnacentral:rRNA from 1 species
CUAUACAUGCAGUCGAGCGAACAGACGAGGAGCUUGCUCCUUUGACGUUAGCGGCGGACGGGUGAGUAACACGUGGGUAACCUACCUAUAAGACUGGGAUAACUUCGGGAAACCGGAGCUAAUACCGGAUAAUAUUUCGAACCGCAUGGUUCGAUAGUGAAAGAUGGCUCUGCUAUCACUUAUAGAUGGACCUGCGCCGUAUUAGCUAGUUGGUAAGGUAACGGCUUACCAAGGCAACGAUACGUAGCCGACCUGAGAGGGUGAUCGGCCACACUGGAACUGAGACACGGUCCAGACUCCUACGGGAGGCAGCAGUAGGGAAUCUUCCGCAAUGGGCGAAAGCCUGACGGAGCAACGCCGCGUGAGUGAUGAAGGUCUUCGGAUCGUAAAACUCUGUUAUUAGGGAAGAACAAACGUGUAAGUAACUGUGCACGUCUUGACGGUACCUAAUCAGAAAGCCACGGCUAACUACGUGCCAGCAGCCGCCGGGUAAUAAA